rnacentral:lncRNA from 1 species
AUGGCAACCUCUCUAAAGAUCUGGAGCCUGCUCUUGGCCCUGCUUUGAUCCUAUGCAGGCUGCUUGUACACAGGAAGAACAUCUACUGGUGGGAACUCAUAAAACAUCACUACCCACGUUCAAGAGUACAGAUGUGAUGUCCUCAUGAGAGAAAAAGAAGUGCUCUAAAAGAUAAGAGCUCUCACAUGUUCAUCUAAAUCUCAGGUUACCAAAUUGAGCAUACACAUGCUAAUGACAACUGGGAUGACUGCUAUAGACAUGCAUAUGUACGGACCCAGAAUGCACCCAAUGUACUCAAGUGUCACUGGGAGAAUUCCAAAAAUAGCUACACAGAGAGCAGGAGCUUCAGCUACAUUGAAUUCCACCACAGCAUGGAUGAGUAUGUUGAUGGCAUAGAGGACCUGAAGAUAAAGCCUAUCAGCAAC